GUGACACAGAGAUAUUUAGGAUGGGAACAGUGUUCGAACUCUUGGCCUUCCCAGGAGAAUAUUUGUCUUCCGGUGAACAGAAACUCUCAUGCAAGAGAAAGCAACAAAAGCAAGGAAGGACAUCUCAAGUUGGAAUACAAAAUAAGCAACAUUAGUGCUAGCAAUAUGAUUUGUGAAGAGUUACAGGAUUGUGGGCUCAAUACAUGAUGGAGGAGUGUGGUUCAAGUUUGUGCUGUACCUUAUGAUUCUGUAUUAGGACUGUUACUUUUUCUUAAAAUGAGAAAUUCAAAUGCAAAGGACUACAAUUCAAAAUACACAUAUGGCUCCAGAUGGAAAUUAUUAGCACUUUUCUUAAUUACGACAAUGAAGACCAUAAGUGGAGAAUCAAGAGAAGAAAACAAGUUGAGUUACUUAUCCCUGCAAGCGAGGAUGAAGCAAUUGAGCACCUGUAUCCCAAAGUUCAACAUUGUCUCCUUUAGUGGCUCCCAACAUGUGAGCAGCAGACCACUGAUGGUACUUCGGGUGGUCUGUGAAGGACUCCUUAGUGGAAGUGAAAUGUAUGAACCAAUCACAGGAAGAGAGAAGGGUGAAGAUCACACUAAUGGAGCCUCUCAUCAUUUCAUCAUUUGCCAUCAUUUCUGUUUUUUACACUGUGUAAUAAAUAUGAAAUAUUUAUAUAUAGGCUUCUAAUACUGGGAAAAGGCAGGCUUUAAAUGGAUAAAAUAAAUACAAAUACAUAAG
rnacentral:lncRNA from 11 species